rfam:Trichobilharzia regenti genome assembly, scaffold: TRE_contig0002141
GUACUGAUGAAGAGUCCCAAACUAGGGCGACGAAACAGCUGUCCAGUAU